UCAUUUUCAUGCAUUCAUAUAACCUCUAUGACAUGCAUUCAUAUAACAUUUCAUGCAUUCUUAUAGUAUCAUUUUCAUGCAUUCACUUAGCAUAUUUCUUAUGCAUUUACCAUUCUUCAACUAGCUACCAUUAUAUGCAUCAAUAAUAAACAACGCUCCACUUCGACAUGGAAGUGAGCUAAUAUCUUCGAUGAGCACAACCCACCUCGUAACGCUCUUCGAUUGCUUGUAGUUUCUUGCAAUCGGCCUCCCGCGGCACCCGCCGCCCGGUUCGGCCCGAUCUCACGCUCGACCACCGAACGACCUCCAAUCCACAAUCCGAAAAUUAAAGGUCUAUAACUUGAUGCCACGAUGCUCCGGAUCCGUUCUCGUGAUUUUUGGACGUCGCCUCGGCCCUCCAGGCGGAAAUGAAGCCGAAACGUCCGUUUCUUCAAUAUCUUCGCAUAGGCUCGACGAAUCGCCGAAUCGACUUCGGCAACACGUUCGUAUAC
rnacentral:lncRNA from 1 species